rnacentral:rRNA from 1 species
UACAGAGGUCCCAAGCGUUGUUCGGAUUCAUUGGGCGUAAAGCGCACGUAGGCGGAUCGAUCAGUCAGGGGUGAAAUCCCAGAGCUCAACUCUGGAACUGCCUUUGAUACUGUCGAUCUGGAGUAUGGAAGAGGUGAGUGGAAUUCCGAGUGUAGAGGUGAAAUUCGUAGAUAUUCGGAGGAACACCAGUGGCGAAGGCGGCUCACUGGUCCAUUACUGACGCUGAGGUGCGAAAGCGUGGGGAGCAAACAGG